rnacentral:tRNA from 1 species
GCAGUGGUGGUUCAGUGGUAGAAUUCUCACCUUUCAUGCCAGAGACCUGGGUUCAAUUUCUGGCCAGUCUA